rnacentral:rRNA from 1 species
UGAACGCUGGCGGCAUGCCUUACACAUGCAAGUCGAACGGCAGCACGGGUGCUUGCACCUGGUGGCGAGUGGCGAACGGGUGAGUAAUACAUCGGAAUGUACCUUGUAGUGGGGGAUAGCUCGGCGAAAGCCGGAUUAAUACCGCAUACGCUCUGAGGAGGAAAGCGGGGGACCUUCGGGCCUCGUGCUACAAGAGCAGCCGAUGUCAGAUUAGCUUGUUGGUGAGGUAAAAGCUCACCAAGGCGACGAUCUGUAGCUGGUCUGAGAGGACGACCAGCCACACUGGGACUGAGACACGGCCCAGACUCCUACGGGAGGCAGCAGUGGGGAAUUUUGGACAAUGGGCGAAAGCCUGAUCCAGCAAUGCCGCGUGUGUGAAGAAGGCCUUCGGUUGUAAGCACUUUGUCCGGUAAGAAUACCUUGGUUAAGUACCUCGGGGGAGUGACGGUACCGGAAGAAUAAGCACCGGCUAACUACGUGCCAGCAGC